rnacentral:rRNA from 1 species
UACGGAGGGUGCAAGCGUUAUCCGGAUUCACUGGGUUUAAAGGGUGCGUAGGUGGGUCUGUAAGUCAGUGGUGAAAUCUCCGGGCUUAACCCGGAAACUGCCAUUGAUACUAUAGGUCUUGAAUUAUCUGGAGGUCAGCGGAAUAUGUCAUGUAGCGGUGAAAUGCUUAGAUAUGACAUAGAACACCAAUUGCGAAGGCAGCUGGCUACAGGUAUAUUGACACUGAGGCACGAAAGCGUGGGGAUCAAACAGG